rnacentral:rRNA from 1 species
CGCGGCCUAUCAGCUUGUUGGUAAGGUAAUGGCUUACCAAGGCUAUGACGGGUAGGGGAUGUGAGAGCAUGGUCCCCCACAAGGUUACUGAGACACGGAACCUACACCUACGGGUGGCAGCAACCGGGAAUAUUGCGCAAUGGACGAAAGUCUGACGCAGCGACGCCGCGUGCGGGAUGAAGGCCUUCGGGUUGUAAACCGCUGUGGAGAGGGAAGAAGAUCUGACGGUACCUCUCUAGAAAGCACCUGCUAACUACGUGCCAGAAGCCUCGGUAAUACGUAGGGUGCAAGCGUUAUCCGGAAUCACUGGGCGUAAAGGGUUUCGUAGGCGGUUCGGUAAGUGGUGGGUCAAAGCCUCCGGCUCAACUGGAGAAAGGCUCAUCAAACUACCGUGACUAGAGUUAGUUCGGGGAUGCUGGAAUUCUCGGUGGAGGGGUGAAAUCCGUUGAUAUCGAGAGGAACACCAAAGGCGAAGGCAGGCAUCUAGGACUUAACUGACGCUGAUGAACGAAAGCUAGGGUAGCAAACUGGAUUAGAGACCCAGGUAGUCCUAGCCGUAAACGAUGGAUACUAGCUGGUUGCCUUCGGGUGGCCGGCGCAAGCUAACGCGUUAAGUACCCCGCCUGGGGAGUACGG